rnacentral:sRNA from 1 species
AGUAAGUGAUCCACAUAUCCAGGACUUGAAAGGACCAUGAAUAUAAAAGCAUACUCCCUGUAUUUCCAUGAUUAAGUUGACAUGUUUGUUUUCCUAACGCAUCUUAGGAAUGCUCACGUGAUCCUGAGAGUGAGAACUGCACUUUGUGUUGUCAUUUCAGCAGAUCUAUCACUUUCAUGAGACUCAUUUCAUACUCCUGGAUACUGACUUGUCGAUCCAUUACAAGGAAAUUGUAUUUUAGAAACAACCAUUAAAGCAAGGACUGCUACACUUGAGAGUCCAACAUCUCAGAAUACCUGAAGUUCCUCCCUUCUAGGAUGCAUCGUUACCUAAGCCUUCCUGAUUCCUGUGUACAGGCAGUGCCACAAGCUAAACCAGCAGGAACAUGCAGCUGUGUCAUGUUCUGACGUCUGCAUCACACCUCUCUUCAAAUUCUCGUUCUGCUUUGAUGAAGAGCUGAGUCACCCAGGAGGUGAGCAGCACUCAUUGGCCACACUCUCCUACUAUUCUGCACGUGCUGUCACAGACCCAAAGCCACAGGACCAAAUGACCUCGAGCUGAGAACUCUCGAACUGUGAUAAAUGUACUUGAGAAAUAAGACUAUUUAUGUCCUCUUAUCCCUUUGCAGUCUCACUGUUAGCAAACCACACUAAGCAAAUACUCAUGAGCAUUGUAAAAACACGCACAAGGAUGGGUGCUAACUAUGGGAUAGUUUUAAGUUAUUUUAAAGGGUUUACUUAUUUUUACUUUAUGCGUGUGGUUAUUUGCCUGUAUGUGUGCUUGUGUACCAUGUCCACGUUUGGUAUCUGCAGAGGUCAAAAGAGAGUGCUGGAUAUCGAAAGAGCUGUGUUACAAGAUGGUUGCGAGCUGCCAUGUGGGUACUGGGAACAUCCCCACCUUCUGCGAGAAGAACUGGUGCUAUUAACUGCUAAUCCAUCUCACCAGACCCUUUGUUGAUUAUUAAGAGGUGAGGAAAAACACCCCAAACAGAUAUCAGUAAGGUAUAAUAACAAUACAUUAGCCUACCCAUAGUCCAGUGUACUCUGCGAUUUUUGUACUGUAAGAGGUUACCUGAAUAUAUUGAAGGAGGAAGGGUGUGUUAGAGGUGGCAGACAUGUUAUUUUCUAUCACUUGCUUUUAAACUGACUUGAAAACAUGUAUAUGCCAUGUUUGGUUGGUAUCUCUGGGAGCCUGCCCUUUUCUGAAGGGAAACAGAGAGGGGAUGGAUCUGGGGGGGAGGGCAAGUGCACUGGAGACCUAAAGGAGAAGAGGAAGGGGAAACUGCAGUCAGGAUAUAAUAUAUGAGAGGAAGAAGGAGAGUAAUGGGGAGUGGAGAAUCUAAGUGGAGAUGCUGUAGGAGUGGAGGACAGGGAGAGCGAAAGGAAGGAAUAACUGCAACUAAGGUGGUUUGAAAAGCCACAUUGAAACAUACUUCUAAACCUCCCAAAUAAAUGUAUUCAUAUGUUUAAAAAGAAUUUAAUUGGUGUCAUCCUACAUGGGGAGGGGCAGCUAAUACUGCUCCCAGAAGCCUCACAUAGCUUAUUGGUCGAAAAGCUCAGUAUCAGAAUUGGGAUCUUUCCCUUCGAGUUGUUAAGGAGUUUUAGAGACUCUCGAAACAAAACAGGCUCUAGUCAAUCCUCUUGUUUGCCCAGCAGAAUUUGAUGGUAGCAUCCCAUUACUUCAGGGUAUUCUGGUGAUAGGACAUGGAGAAGUGGGUUUGUACUUUUACACUAUUUAGGUCUUGUUGGUUAUCCAUAGGUAUAUUUCUUAUUGUGUUGUCAAAAAAGUACUUGUAAAAUAUGAGGGAGCUUUUAAAAAAUGAUGCUAUACUCGUCAAUAAACCUUCUGCUUUUGGUCCCAACUUUAAAUAUACUGCUUUACUGACUAAAUUACAAGGUUUUCUUACCUCGGGCUCUGAGUUUUGCCCCUAAUUCUUACUGCAAAUCUGGCUAAGCCAUCCACUAGUAUCUAUGACAUUGAUAUUUCUUCUUGAGAUUAAUUAGUCUCUCACAUCUAAACCCAACCUCCCACAAAAAUCUGAGUGUGGGCAAAAUGUAGCUAUGUCAAGCUAGAAUGUGAACUGACCGGGAGAGCCUUCAUUUCCAUCAGAAACCUCAUAACACAGCCUGUAGAAUUCAUGUUCCCAUUGGUCCCCUUCUGAGCUCCCACCAGAAUAUCUCAUCGAGUUCUUCUUUCAUCACCCAACUUUUCCACACUCCUUCAACACAUCAGUUCAAGUGUCUCUGAGCUACAUCAUCAGGUUUAGCUAUUAGCAUUGACAUGACUUCUCAGUGCCAGCCAGGUUUCUGUACCAGUCAGCUUCUCAUCAUUAUGAAAAAAAAAAAACACCUCAGUAAAUCCAGUCACUGGAAGAACAAUUGACUUACCUCUUGGUUUCCAAUGUUUUAGUGUAUGGUUGGCUUUGUUGCUUUUGGGCUUACAUUGAGGCAGAAUACCAUGGUGAUAAGAAUAUUUGGUAGAGUUAGUUGCUCACCUCAGGGUGGUCAGGAAGCAGAGAAUAAGAUCAAAGAUAGAAGAACAAAGGAUAUCCUAAGGCACAUCCUUGGUGAUCUUCCUACAGCUAAGCACCAUUUUCUAGAAAUCUAUCCAGCAUUGCUACAGUAAAAUUGAAGGCCCAUAAAGGGAAAUCUCUUGCUUCUUAGUGAAAAAAAACACUGAAAUCUGCCUCUAGGUGGAGACAAGCCUUUACCUCCUCCCUUAAGUUGGGCUGGCCAAUAAUCUGUCCAAGGGUCUACCCCCCUCCCUGCAAGGAAAGUUCACCAGAAGUCAUGGCAAAGGGAUAGGAGAAACCUAGUACUUUGACUACCCACAAUUUCCACCCCAUAGGAUAGCCCCUUGAACGUCCAUUUGAGUCCAUACUUAAAUUAUGUUGCUAAUUGUAGGCUGAUGUCUACAUGCAGAUGAGGCCUGGUACAAGUUAAGUCAAGGCCAUGAUUGGACAGUUAAAAAAAAAACCAAAAAACAAAAACUAAGGCUGGGACAAAGUUUUUCUAAGGCAGAAGAGAAGGAGAAGGAGGGAGAAUGAAGAUGGAGACAGAGGAUGACCCAGAUAUAGGAGGUCUUUAAUGGCCCUGGGUAGUUAUGUUUAUUUCUUAAGGGAUGAUUUCUUUUUAUUGGAUAGUUUUUAUUUACAUUUCA